rnacentral:rRNA from 1 species
GAUGAACGCUAGCGGCAGGCUUAACACAUGCAAGUCGAGGGGCAGCGCGGGAUAGCAAUAUCCUGGCGGCGACCGGCGGAAGGGUGCGUAACGCGUGAGCGACAUGCCCGUUGCCCGGGGACAACCGGUGGAAACGCCGACUAAUCCCCGAUGGGAUAUUGUGCCGCAUGGCACGAUAUUGAAAGUUACGGCGGCGACGGAUUGGCUCGCGUCCGAUUAGCUUGUUGGCGGGGUAACGGCCCACCAAGGCUGCGAUCGGUAGGGGUUCUGAGAGGAAGGCCCCCCACAAUGGGACUGAGACACGGCCCAUACUCCUACGGGAGGCAGCAGUGAGGAAUAUUGGUCAAUGGGCAGAAGCCUGAACCAGCCAUGCCGCGUGCGGGAAGGAGGCCCUAUGGGCUGUGAACCGCUUUUGCCUGGGGGCAAUAAGGGCGUCGCGCACGUCCGAUGAGAGUACCAGGCGAAUAAGCAUCGGCUAACUCCGUG